rnacentral:lncRNA from 1 species
ACUACUUCACUUUACAGAUGAGGAAACCAAGUCCCAAAAGAUGAAGCCACGUAUUUAGUGAAACACAACUGAAUUCUGUUUCUGUUUCUGGUGAAAGAAUACAAGGAUCUGUCAAAGAGAUGUGUUGAGUCACAAGUUGCAGAAAGCAAGACUUAAUAGUUUUGAAAAUUGGCGUCUUUUAAAUCAUGAUUCUUUUUUCUUUAGGCAUGUAUUAUUUUGGUCACUAUGCUGUUUUAGACACUAUCCUCUGCUCCACAGAUGAAUAUGGUCAUUCAUUAGCCAUUAAGCUGUAGAUCUGUGCUGUCCAAUACCGUAGCCAUUGGCCACAACCAGUUUAUGGAAGAUGGCAUACUAUGCUUUGACCCAGAAUUCUGGAUGCUCAGAACACAUCUUGUCUGCUCACUUACUCACAUCUGACCACCAUUGUCUCUCCUUUGUGUCUGAGGUGGCCACAGUCUCUGCAAUUAACUCAACGGAGGCAAAUGCAUCUACAUCAGCCAUCUUCAAGCAACAAGAUGGUCCCACCAGUCCCCUUUUCUCUAAUUCUGGAAAUUAAAAUUUUCUCUGAUUCACUUACCCAAUAUAUAUAUGUGUAUUGAAUGCCUAUUACGUACAUCAUUUUGAGCCUGGGAUAGAGGAAUAAUCAAGGCAGAACAUGUUUCUGCCCUCAUGGAGAUGUACAUUGUAGUUUGUGGAGGUUUUCGUGGGGCUUAAUAGAUUCUUCUAUUCUAUUUCACUGUAAAGGCCACAUGCAAUCAUACUGAAAUAUAUUCAUUCAUUUAAUACACCGUGGCGUUUGGGACUAUUAAUGAAUUAUGAUAUUUCAGGUGCUAGACACAUCUAUCUAAAUGUCUAAGCCCAACAAUAAUUCUCUGGG